rnacentral:piRNA from 1 species
AGAUGGAGCAUAGCCCCCUCCUUUCGGGCC